rnacentral:rRNA from 1 species
GAUGAACGCUGGCGGCGUGCCUAAUACAUGCAAGUCGAGCGAACAGACGAGGAGCUUGCUCCUCUGACGUUAGCGGCGGACGGGUGAGUAACACGUGGAUAACCUACCUAUAAGACUGGGAUAACUUCGGGAAACCGGAGCUAAUACCGGAUAAUAUAUUGAACCGCAUGGUUCAAUAGUGAAAGACGGUUUUGCUGUCACUUAUAGAUGGAUCCGCGCCGCAUUAGCUAGUUGGUAAGGUAACGGCUUACCAAGGCAACGAUGCGUAGCCGACCUGAGAGGGUGGUCGGCCACACUGGAACCGAGACACGGUCCAGACUCCUACGGGAGGCAGCAGUAGGGAAUCUUCCGCAAUGGGCGAAAGCCUGACGGAGCAACGCCGCGUGAGUGAUGAAGGUCUUCGGAUCGUAAAACUCUGUUAUUAGGGAAGAACAAAUGUGUAAGUAACUAUGCACGUCUUGACGGUACCUAAUCAGAAAGCCACGGCUAACUACGUGC